UACGUAGGGUCCGAGCGUUGUCCGGAAUUAUUGGGCGUAAAGAGCUCGUAGGCGGUUUGUCGCGUCUGCUGUGAAAUCCCGAGGCUCAACCUCGGGCCUGCAGUGGGUACGGGCAGUCUGGAGUGCGGUAGGGGAGAAUGGAAUUCCUGGUGUAGCGGUGGAAUGCGCAGAUAUCAGGAGGAACACCGAUGGCGAAGGCAGUUCUCUGGGCCGUAACUGACGCUGAGGAGCGAAAGCGUGGGGAGCGAACAGG
rnacentral:rRNA from 1 species